AUGGCUAAUCUAAAAAAUCUCACUAGAUUGGGACUCUGGUGAGGAGUUCCACUGGAUUGAAACUCUAUUAUUAAUGAAAGAUUAGUUAGUAAUUAAAUUACUAAUUAGUUUAAUUUGAUUAAGUAUUAAAGUUUAGAUCGUCUGAUUGAAUUAGAUUCAAUCAGGUCAUGUCCGAUUAGGUUAUGAGAUGACUUAAUCGGUAAAAGAGAAUUGAUCCUAAUUUGAUUGGGUCUAUGACUCAAUUAAUGUACUGAUUUGAUCAGAUUUAAUUGAGAUUAUAGAAGCCUAAUUAGAUUAGAUUCAUCAUAUUUUAUUUAGGUCUAAUUGAUUGGG
rnacentral:lncRNA from 1 species